rnacentral:rRNA from 1 species
UACGUAGGGUGCGAGCGUUGUCCGGAAUUAUUGGGCGUAAAGAGCUCGUAGGCGGUGUGUCACGUCGGCCGUGAAAACCUGCAGCUUAACUGUGGGCGUGCGGUCGAUACGGGCAUCACUGGAGUUCGGGAGGGGAGACUGGAAUUCCUGGUGUAGCGGUGAAAUGCGCAGAUAUCAGGAGGAACACCGGUGGCGAAGGCGGGUCUCUGGGCCGAUACUGACGCUGAGGAGCGAAAGCGUGGGGAGCAAACAGG